rfam:Schistosoma haematobium scaffold521_7, whole genome shotgun sequence.
AUCCAGCUGACGAGUGCCAAACAGGACGAAACGCGCGUCCUGGAU